GAUGAACGCUGGCGGCGUGCUUAACACAUGCAAGUCGAACGAAGCAUUUAAGACAGAUUACUUCGGUUUGAGGUCUUUUAUGACUGAGUGGCGGACGGGUGAGUAACGCGUGGGUAACCUGCCUCAUACAGGGGGAUAGCAGCUGGAAACGGCUGGUAAUACCGCAUAAGCGCACAGUACCACAUGGUACAGUGUGAAAAACUCCGGUGGUAUGAGAUGGACCCGCGUCUGAUUAGCUUGUUGGCGGGGUAACGGCCCACCAAGGCGACGAUCAGUAGCCGACCUGAGAGGGUGACCGGCCACAUUGGGACUGAGACACGGCCCAGACUCCUACGGGAGGCAGCAGUGGGGAAUAUUGCACAAUGGAGGAAACUCUGAUGCAGCGACGCCGCGUGAGUGAAGAAGUAGUUCGCUAUGUAAAGCUCUAUCAGCAGGGAAGAUAGUGACGGUACCUGACUAAGAAGCUCCGGCUAAAUACGU
rnacentral:rRNA from 1 species